rnacentral:rRNA from 1 species
CGUUGACCUCGGAUCAGGUAGGAAUACCCGCUGAACUUAAGCAUAUCAAAAACCCGGAGGAAAAAGCGGAAGAAA